rnacentral:rRNA from 1 species
AGGGUGUAAACGCUGCAGACUUGGUGUUGGAGGCCCUUUGGGGGCAUUCAGUGCCGGAGAGAAGUUGUUAAGUCUGCUACUUGGGGAGUACGUCCGCAAGGAUGAAACUUAAAGGAAUUGGCGGGGGAGCACCGCAACGGGAGGAGCGUGCGGUUUAAUUGGAUUCAACACCGUAAACUCACCAGGGAAGACUGUUUCAUGAAGGCCGAGAUGAAGACUCUGCUAGAUUUUCAGAGAGGAGGUGCAUGGCGUCAGUGACU